GUGUACAUCUUCACUGCGUCACAACGGGGAAAGGGGACACCAUGUGGUGGUAGCAUCAUAACCAGGGACGUCAUUAUGACAGCGGCUCACUGCGUGAAAACGAGGGACCGUAUUGCGAGGGUCGUUGUCUACUACAACACGACCAGACUUCAAGAUGACAACUACAUCGACGUCGAGAGCGCCGUCGUCCACCCAAAGUACAGGAACUUGGACUCGGGUUAUAACAUCGCUUUAUUGAAACUGUCGAAGACCCAUCGACAGAUACGACAGGUUCGUGAGGCCUGUUUGUCUUCCUUGGCAAGGAAAACGAAUCCGAGCUGGACAAAUGUUGAUUGCUGGAUAUGGUGCUGUUAACAUGCAAAAUAAACCAUCUGACCACAUCUUUUACUAUAUGGCAAAUGUUUUGUCGGAGAGAAGUUGUAGCCUUGCAAUGGCCCACCAGUGGAAGCGUAUUAAGGCAAAAGUGUGGAAUCUUUUUAUGUGCACUAAGAACCUGUACCAAACGGCAUACACGGGUGACUCUGGAGAUCCGGUGACAGCCGUUUCCGGGGGGAGAUCCGUUCAGUACGGCAUCGUAACGUUCGGGCAGACGCAAAAUCGCGGACCGGCCCCUGUUAUGCACACAAAGGUUUCCAUGUUCAUUGACUGGAUAAACGAUUCACUGGACAGAAUAGAUCGAUGGAAAAGACUUAAGCACCCUUAACAAGUACAGUACAGUCCAAGCGCCUCAGUUUGUCAGAUUGUCGAAAAUACCACAAUGCUCACUGUGUGGUCACUCCUAUAGAGCCAGAAUAAAAUGGUUUUGA